GACGAACGCUGGCGGCGUGCUUAACACAUGCAAGUCGAACGGAAAGGCUCCAGCUUGCUGGCGUACUCGAGUGGCGAACGGGUGAGUAACACGUGGGUAAUCUGCCCUGCACUCUGGGAUAAGCCUUGGAAACUGGGUCUAAUACUGGAUAUGACCUUUCUCCUUAUGGGGUUUGGUGGAAAGUUUUUCGGUGUAGGAUGAGCCCGCGGCCUAUCAGCUUGUUGGUGGGGUGAUGGCCUACCAAGGCGACGACGGGUAGCCGGCCUGAGAGGGUGAUCGGCCACAUUGGGACUGAGAUACGGCCCAGACUCCUACGGGAGGCAGCAGUGGGGAAUAUUGCACAAUGGGCGGAAGCCUGAUGCAGCGACGCCGCGUGAGGGAUGACGGCCUUCGGGUUGUAAACCUCUUUCAGCAGGGACGAAGCGUAAGUGACGGUACCUGCAGAAGAAGCACCGGCUAACUAUGUG
rnacentral:rRNA from 1 species